rnacentral:rRNA from 1 species
GACGAACGCUGGCGGCGUGCUUAACACAUGCAAGUCGAACGGAAAGGCCCUGCUUUUGUGGGGUGCUCGAGUGGCGAACGGGUGAGUAUCACGUGAGUAACCUGCCCUUGACUUUGGGAUAACUUCAGGAAACUGGGGCUAAUACCGGAUAGGAGCUCCUGCUGCAUGGUGGGGGUUGGAAAGUUUCGGCGGUUGGGGAUGGACUCGCGGCUUAUCAGCUUGUUGGUGGGGUAGUGGCUUACCAAGGCUUUGACGGGUAGCCGGCCUGCGAGGGUGACCGGCCACAUUGGGACUGAGAUACGGCCCAGACUCCUACGGGAGGCAGCAGUGGGGAAUAUUGCACGAUGGGCGGAAGCCUGAUGCAGCAACGCCGCGUGCGGGAUGACGGCCUUCGGGUUGUAAACCGCUUUCGCCUGUGACGAAGCGUGAGUGACGGUAAUGGGUAAAGAAGCACCGGCUAACUACGUG